rnacentral:tRNA from 1 species
GCAUUGAUGGUUCAGUGAUAGAAUUCUUGACUUCCAUGCAGGAGACCUGAGUUCAAUUCCCAGUCAAUGCA